ACUCCUACGGGAGGCAGCAGUAGGGAAUCUUCGGCAAUGGACGAAAGUCUGACCGAGCAACGCCGCGUGAGUGAAGAAGGUUUUCGGAUCGUAAAACUCUGUUGUUAGAGAAGAACAAGGACGUUAGUAACUGAACGUCCCCUGACGGUAUCUAACCAGAAAGCCACGGCUAACUACGUGCCAGCAGCCGCGGUAAUACGUAGGUGGCAAGCGUUGUCCGGAUUUAUUGGGCGUAAAGCGAGCGCAGGCGGUUUCUUAAGUCUGAUGUGAAAGCCCCCGGCUCAACCGGGGAGGGUCAUUGGAAACUGGGAGACUUGAGUGCAGAAGAGGAGAGUGGAAUUCCA
rnacentral:rRNA from 1 species